UAGACUGGCUGUGCCACCCUGAACACGCCCAGUCUCGUCUGAUCUCGGAAGUUAAGCAGGGUUGGGCCUGCUUCGUACUUGGAGAAAAAGGGAGUCAGUCCCU
rnacentral:rRNA from 1 species